rnacentral:antisense_RNA from 1 species
CUAUGCAGUUCGUGUUAAUGGGACUAAUUAAGAAAUUAUAGUGGUUCUCAAAUAAAUCGGACAAAUGUUAAAGAUUUUACUUUUUCAUUUGUUCGAUUUUUUGACUUUGAAGCAUAAUAAAAAGCAGUUGGACAAUGGCGAUUGUAAAAUCAUUGUUCGACUGCUUUUCUGAUUAACUUGAUUGACUAAGAUUUAUUUUCCUGUACCGAAAACAUCAUGCCAUUCGUUUCGUUUGUCUAGAAAUGCUUGAGCGAUAGUUUUAGCACCUUCUAAUGAAUGACUUGCUGCCCAGCCACAUUGUACUUCAUUACAAGCAGGCACUUCAGUAGCAUUUAGCACAUCAUU